ACACGACUACAUUAGAUACCCCGGUAGUCCUGGCCGUAAACGAUGUGGACUUGGUGUUGGGAAUGGCUCCGAGCUGCUCCAGUGCCGAAGGGAAGCUGUUAAGUCCACCGCCUGGGAAGUACGGUCGCAAGGCUGAAACUUAAGGAAUUGGCGGGGAGCACCACAACGGGUGGAGCCUGCGGUUUAAUUGGACUCAACGCCGGGAAGCUCACCGGAUAAGACAGCGGAAUGAUUGCCGGGCUGAAGACCCUGCAUGACCAGCUG
rnacentral:rRNA from 1 species